rnacentral:rRNA from 1 species
GACGAACGCUGGCGGCGUGCUUAACACAUGCAAGUCGAACGGAAAGGCUCCAGCUUGCUGGAGUACUCGAGUGGCGAACGGGUGAGUAACACGUGGGUGAUCUGCCCUGCACUUCGGGAUAAGCCUGGGAAACUGGGUCUAAUACCGGAUAGGACCGCACUCUGGUGUGUGUGGUGGAAAGGUUUUUCUGGUGUGGGAUGAGCUCGCGGCCUAUCAGUUUGUUGGUGGGGUAAUGGCCUACCAAGACGGCGACGGGUAGCCGGCCUGAGAGGGUGGACGGUCACAAUGGGACUGGGAUACGGCCCAGACUCCUACGGGAGGCAGCAGGGGGGAAUAUUGCACAAUGGGGGAAACCCUGAUGCAGCGACGCCGCGUGGGGGAUGAAGGCCUUCGGGUUGUAAACUCCUUUCGCUAGGGACGAAGCUUUUUGUGACGGUACCUGGAGAAGAAGCACCGGCUAACUACGUG